rnacentral:rRNA from 1 species
AGAGUUUGAUCCUGGCUCAGGAUCAACGCUGGCGGCGUGCCUAAUGCAUGCAAGUCGGACGGGGCUCCCUUCGGGGGGCUCACGUGGCGGACGGGUGAGGAACGCGUGGGGAACCUGCCCCGGGGUGGGGGAUAGCCCCCGGAAACGGGGGGUAAGACCGCAUGUGCUUGGCCGGCGGUUGGCCGGCUAAGGAAAGCACUUCGGUGUGCCCCGGGAGGGUCCUGCGGCCGAUUAGCUGGUUGGCGGGGUAACGGCCCACCAAGGCGGUGAUCGGUAGCUGGUCUGAGAGGACGGCCAGCCACGCGGGGACUGAGACACGGCCCCGACUCCUACGGGAGGCAGCAGCAAGGAAUUUUCCCCAAUGGGCGCAAGCCUGAGGGAGCAACGCCGCGUGGGGGAGGACGCCCUUCGGGGUGUAAACCCCUUUUCUCGGGGACGAAGCACUGACGGUACCCGAGGAAGAAGGCCCGGCUAACUACGUGCCAGCAGCCGCGGUAAUACGUAGGGGCCGAGCGUUGUCCGGAGUUACUGGGCGUAAAGCGCGCGCAGGCGGCCGCUUAAGCCCGGCGUGAAAGCCCCCGGCUCAACCGGGGAGGGUCGUCGGGGACUGGGCGGCUUGAGGACGGCAGGGGCCGGUGGAAUCCCCGGUGUAGUGGUGAAAUGCGUAGAGAUCGGGGGGAACACCCGUGGCGAAGCGGCCGGCUGGGCCGGACCUGACGCUGAGACGCGAAGCGUGGGGAGCGAACGGGAUUAGAUACCCCGGUAGUCCACGCAGUAAACGAUGCCGACUGGGCGUGGGGGGA